rnacentral:tRNA from 1 species
GAUAAUGUGGCUGAGUGGCAGGCGAUAGACUGUAAAUCUAUAAACGGAUGUGUAUCCCUUUAUCA